CGGAGCCGCUGUUGGGAUACCACCCUUGCAGUAUUGGAUUUCUAACCAGCGACCAUGAACUGGUCGGGGGACAAUGUCAGGUGGGGAGUUUGACUGGGGCGGUCGCCUCCGAAAGGGUAUCGGAGGCGCUCAAAGGUUCCCUCAGAAUGGACGGAAACCAUUCGAAGAGUGCAAAGGCAGAAGGGAGCUUGACUGCGACACCGACGGGUGGAGCAGGUACGAAAGUAGGACUUAGUGAUCCGGUGGUAUAAAGUGGGAUUGCCAUCGCUCAACGGAUAAAAGCUACCCUGGGGAUAACAGGCUUAUCACUCCCAAGAGUUCACAUCGACGGAGUGGUUUGGCACCUCGAUGUCGGCUCAUCGCAUCCUGGGGCUGAAGUAGGUCCCAAGGGUUGGGCUGUUCGCCCAUUAAAGCGGUACGCGAGCUGGGUUCAGAACGUCGUGAGACAGUUCGGUCCCUAUCCGGCGUGGGCGUAGGAUAUUUGAGAGGAGCUGUCCUUAGUACGAGAGGACCGGGAUGGACUGGCCGCUGGUGUAUCUGUUGCAUACCAAAUGCAUGGCAGAGUAGCCAAGCCGGGACGGGAUAAACGCUGAAGGCAUCUAAGCGUGAAGCCCCCCUCAAGAUGAGAUAUCCCUACGUAAGUAGUAAGACCCCUUGAAGACGACGAGGUAGAUAGGUCAGAGGUGGAAGUACAGUAAUGUAUGGAGCUGACUGAUACUAAUCGGUCGAGGGCAUGACCAAG
rnacentral:rRNA from 1 species